rnacentral:rRNA from 1 species
UUAAGAGCUUGCUCUUAUGAAGUUAGCGGCGGACGGGUGAGUAACACGUGGGUAACCUGCCCAUAAGACUGGGAUAACUCCGGGAAACCGGGGCUAAUACCGGAUAACAUUUUGAACUGCAUGGUUCGAAAUUGAAAGGCGGCUUCGGCUGUCACUUAUGGAUGGACCCGCGUCGCAUUAGCUAGUUGGUGAGGUAACGGCUCACCAAGGCAACGAUGCGUAGCCGACCUGAGAGGGUGAUCGGCCACACUGGGACUGAGACACGGCCCAGACUCCUACGGGAGGCAGCAGUAGGGAAUCUUCCGCAAUGGACGAAAGUCUGACGGAGCAACGCCGCGUGAGUGAUGAAGGCUUUCGGGUCGUAAAACUCUGUUGUUAGGGAAGAACAAGUGCUAGUUGAAUAAGCUGGCACCUUGACGGUACCUAACCAGAAAGCCACGGCUAACUACGUGCCAGCAGCCGCGGUAAUACGUAGGUGGCAAGCGUUAUCCGGAAUUAUUGGGCGUAAAGCGCGCGCAGGUGGUUUCUUAAGUCUGAUGUGAAAGCCCACGGCUCAACCGUGGAGGGUCAUUGGAAACUGGGAGACUUGAGUGCAGAAGAGGGAAAGUGGAAUUCCAUGUGUAGCGGUGAGAUGCGUAAGAUAUGGAGGAACACCAGUUG